UACGGAGGGUGCAAGCGUUAUCCGGAUUCACUGGGUUUAAAGGGUGCGUAGGUGGGCAGGUAAGUCAGUGGUGAAAUCUCCGGGCUUAACCCGGAAACUGCCGUUGAUACUAUCUGUCUUGAAUAUCGUGGAGGUGAGCGGAAUAUGUCAUGUAGCGGUGAAAUGCUUAGAUAUGACAUAGAACACCAAUUGCGAAGGCAGCUUACUACACAACGAUUGACGCUGAGGCACGAAAGCGUGGGGAUCAAACAGG
rnacentral:rRNA from 1 species